rnacentral:lncRNA from 1 species
UCCAACAAUGAGGAAAAGUUUUUAAAAGUCCAAAUCUAAAAAUUUUGACACCAAUAUUUUUUUAUUUUGUUUUGAAAGUUUCUCUGCUUUUCCUUACAGGCAAAGCUGCCCCCUUGGUUUUACUUCUCCUGACUUGCAUGAACCACAAACCCAGUCUCUGGAGGAAUUAUCAAUUUCCUCCUGUCGUUCAUGGUAAGAUGUAGACCUGCGGAUUUACUGGUAAAUGGAAUAUUAAUACUAUUGUGUGGAAAAAGUGAGUUAUAUGGUUGUGCAUCAGUUUCAGAUGUGAGGUCUAUGUGAAAGUGGAGCCAUCAGCCAGUGUAGAAGUGGUGCAGAGAAACAUGACUGCAUUACUAAGGUCAACGUUCCCCUACAACCUAUUUCACCUUAGAGUUGACCCUAACAGCAUUACUGUUCUCUCUGUGGGUGAGUACAUUCACUGCAAUUCUGGAAACACACUCCUCUAUGCAAAAUCACCCACAAUCCAAUGAUGUUUGUUUGACUUAGAAUAGGAUUUUGGCCAUGAAGGUUUGUAAUUUAGCUGUAUGAGCUGGCUGUUAUCCUGGCAUGUAAGAUGUAGUAAAGCUUAAAUAUUUUUUUCUUUUAGGUGAUUUUUUUCUGGAAACAGAACAUACACCGACUAUUCGACCAAAUCAGACAGUUUCAGGAACAAGUCCAAGUGUGUCAUUGCAGCCCAAUAGCUCGUACGCUACCAAAGAGGAACUACACAAGAAAAAUAGUUCGUUGGUUCAAUUCGACCAAUUUUUUCGAGUCAAUUUGACCUUAAAUAUGAUGGGUAACCCAGCACACCCAGAGGACUUCAUUGAGAGAUGGGUGAGAAGCCAGCACAGCAGCGAUGGAACACGUGGCUCGCUUAAGUGUCACAACAGUCUGUUCUGUUUUUGGGCUGAAGGUAAAAACGCAGCUGGAGUGGAGUAAGAUCAUGACUGUGCUGAAUGUCAUCAUAAAGGAGAACAACUUCAGGUGUGUGCCUUUGGGUUUGUUUCCCAUUUUGGAAUUUUGUUUUGUCACAUGACUCAACAGUUGUGUAUAAAUGUGAUUUCUCUCAGGAGCACGAGCUCUGGAUUGAUG